rnacentral:tRNA from 1 species
CGCGCAGUAGCUUAGCGAUGGAGCGCUAGCCUGAUAUGCGAGGAGACCCGAGUUUGAGUCCCGGUUGCUCCU